CAGUAGCCACGGGAAUACGAAGGGGGCUAGCGUUGUUCGGAUUUACUGGGCGUAAAGCGCACGUAGGCGGAUCCUUAAGUCAGAGGUGAAAUCCCAAGGCUCAACCUUGGAACUGCCUUUGAUACUGGGGAUCUCGAGUCCGGGAGAGGUGAGUGGAACUGCGAGUGUAGAGGUGAAAUUCGUAGAUAUUCGCAAGAACACCAGUGGCGAAGGCGGCUCACUGGCCCGGAACUGACGCUGAGGUGCGAAAGCGUGGGGAGCAAACAGGAUUAGAUACCCGCGUAGUCCCUGUCUCUUAUAC
rnacentral:rRNA from 1 species